ACAGUUUGAUUAUGGCUCAGGACGAACGCUGGCGGCGCGCCUAAUACAUGCAAGUCGAGGGAGAACCGAACCUUCGGGUUUGGGGAGACCGGCGAACGGGUGAGUAACACGUGAGGAACCUGCCCUGUAGACCGGAAUAACCACGGGAAACUGUGGCUAAUGCCGGAUACUCUCGAACACUCGCAUGGGAGUUCGAGGAAAUGGUCCGCCGCUACAGGAUGGCCUCGCGGCCUAUCAGCUUGUUGGUGAGGUAAUGGCUCACCAAGGCGACGACGGGUAGCUGGCGUGAGAGCGCGACCAGCCACACUGGGACUGAGACACGGCCCAGACUCCUACGGGAGGCAGCAGUAGGGAAUCUUGCGCAAUGGGCGAAAGCCUGACGCAGCGACGCCGCGUGCGGGAAGAAGGCCUUCGGGUUGUAAACCGCUUUCAGGAGGGAAGAAGCGAAAGUGACGGUACCUCCAGAAGAAGCCCCGGCCAACUACGUGCCAGCAGCCGCGGUAAUACGUAGGGGGCAAGCGUUGUCCGGAAUUAUUGGGCGUAAAGAGCUCGUAGGCGGUCCUUUAAGUCGGGUGUGAAAUCUCAGGGCUCAACCCUGAAACCGCACUCGAUACUGGAGGACUUGAGGCAGGUAGGGGAAGGUGGAAUUCCUGGUGUAGCGGUGAAAUGCGCAGAUAUCAGGAGGAACACCCGUGGCGAAGGCGGCCUUCUGGGCCUGUACUGACGCUGAGGAGCGAAAGCGUGGGGAGCAAACAGGAGUAGAUACCCUGGUAGUCCACGCCGUACACGAUGGGUGCUAGGUGUGGGGGGUCAUCCACUCCCUCCGUGCCGCAUCUAACGCAUUAAGCACCGCGCCUGGGGGAUUACGACCGCAAGGUUAAAACUCAAAUGAAUUGACUGGGA
rnacentral:rRNA from 1 species